CCUACGGGGGGCUGCAGUGGGGAAUAUUGCGCAAUGGGGGAAACCCUGACGCAGCAACGCCGCGUGAGCGAAGAAGGCCUUCGGGUCGUAAAGCUCUGUCAUAAGGGACGAAGUCUCUCAAAAAGAGAGGUGACGGUACCUUAAGAGGAAGCCCCGGCUAACUACGUGCCAGCAGCCGCGGUAAUACGUAGGGGGCAAGCGUUGUCCGGAAUUAUUGGGCGUAAAGGGCGUGUAGGCGGUUAAUUAAGUCAGGUGUGAAAGCCCGGGGCUCAACCCCGUGAUUGCACCUGAAACUGGUUAACUUGAGGGCAAGAGAGGAAAGCGGAAUUCCUAGUGUAGCGGUGAAAUGCGUAGAUAUUAGGAGGAACACCAGUGGCGAAGGUGGCUUUCUGGCUUGACCCUGACGCUGAGGCACGAAAGCGUGGGGAGCGAACAGGAUUAGAUACCCUUGUAGUC
rnacentral:rRNA from 1 species